AUGCUUCCUGUGCCAGCAAUAAGCACAGAAACCCUAGUACUAAAAUAAACAUUCAUGCCUCUUCUAGUGGAACUCAGUCUAGUGGAGGAGAGCAAUUUAACCAAAUGGCCAUGUUAAUAAAUGUUUACUACUGGGUUUGGUGGAACACGCUAGUGAUCUCAGCACUUAGGAAGCUGAGGCAGGAGCAUGAAGAGGCCAACCUGGGCCACAAAGCAAGACCCUGUCUCAAAAUAUAACAAAAUAGUAUUUAUUGUAACUAUCCCUUUCUCCAAUGAGGGUAACAUUUCUAACUAACUUACUAGAAAAAGACAAUGGGCAUAUAUAUUAUAUCUAUACAUAUUUUACUUUUUACUUAAAACACAUAAACAUCUACUUGCCAAAUUUGAUCCAGCUAAGAUGCCUUUUCUAAGGACUGGUCUGGUAACUGAAGUGUCACCUCAUCUUUCUUGUAUAAAGCCCACUCAAAAUUAUACAUGUUGUGUACAAUUUUCAGUGUCAGCUACUUUAGAAUGGAAGACAUGGAGACACUGGUGAGAAAGCCUGAAUUGUUGCAGGAGGUUCCAGCAGCAGCGGUCCAGAAAACAUUCAUGAGAAGGGAUCCAGGGACUGGCUCACUUAUUGCCUUGUUGACAAGAAGAAUUACAUCCUGAAAGGAAUAUGGGAUAGGUCUGCUCUGCAGCCCAAUUGACAAAGAAUUUACCUGUGAUGACAAGUGGAAAAUGUCUAGAUUAGUUGUAUUGAUGCUUCUGGGGAUGGAGUGAGGAAUACUUCAAUAAACAACAACAAUAACAACAAAAGAACAACACUCAGCUUAACCAUCAGUGAAAAGCCUGUGAGAGACAGAAGCCACAGUACCAGAUGGAGAGGUCCUCAUCCUGCCCUCAAUACCUGAUGGAGAGGUCUUCAUUCCUGCCCUCAGUACCCCAUGGGGUGGUCCUCAUCCUGCCCUCAAUACCCAUGGAGAGAUCCUCAUCCUUCCCUCAGUAUCCAAUGGAGAGAUCCUCAUCCUGCCCUCAGUACCCCAUGGAGAGGUCUUCAUCCUCUGUAGUUGAAGAUAAGACACAGAUGGGAAGCAGCCCAGUAUAAUAGGAUUUCAGAAUUUGGGGUACAAGUAAGUGCUUAGCAAAGGUAAGCAUAUUACACUGAUUUCACUGAGUGGGAACCACAGGGCCUCUGAGAUUUGGGAUAGAAUUGUAUCCAUGGAUAUUCUGAGUACUGUGUCUCUGCUGGAAUCUUCACAGUGAAGGAAAUGUGGGAAUGCGUCUAUGACCAUGUGGUCCAGCAGUCAUGUUACAAAUUAUUUCAUCUAGAAGAAAUUGGUUUCAUGCAGUUAGAAGCUGUCUGAAGUGCUGGAUUGGUAAUUAUAUUGCAAAAUAAACCAGAGACAUUAUACGGCACUAGGUCUCCAGGGAAGCAACCUGAAGUCAAUGUCCCCACUGGCCAUCUUUCUCAAUGACCCCUUGGGGAAGCCCUGCUUCCACAUCUUUGUGAUUAUGGACCUUGCAAGGUUGAGGUCCUUGUCCCCAAAAGUGUAUUCUUGCCAGAGGAUCUGAACAAACUAUGUUAUUAUUGCUUGUGACACUUUGAAGUCUCCUUGUUUAGAAAGUAGGCAGGAAAGAAAUCAUCAUCUUGGAAAGGACAAUGGUCCCUCAUCAUCAGGUGACUGCUUUGAUGCUGAGAGGGAAAGAAGGGAUACCUGUGAAAUCAAAUUUCUUCUGUGCCUCUUCACAUUUAUUGUUUAAUUAUGACCAUAAGCAGAUACCCACAGAAACUCUGGCUGACAAGAGUGUGGUUACCAGCAGCUGCCUCUGAGCAAGCUUGGUUCAUAUAAUCAGGAAGGCCACUGAGACCAGCCCAUGUGCCAGUUGAAUGAGGAAGGCUAGAGAAAGAAUGGAGGAGGGACACGAUGGGAGUAGCUGUAGAUUCAAGUUCAAAUGCAGCCACACAACUGUAGUUCUUCCUAUUGCCUGCCUUCUUCUAUGUUCUCACUCCGCACCCCCAGAGAAAAAGACCAAUGGUCCAUGGAAGGGCCAGUUCAGCAUAAAGAGCUGUCACAGAGCUUCAUUUUGGUCUGCACUGUUUGUUGUCACAGUUUUAUGUCUAUAUCAUAGUUGCUAUCAUCUUUCAACAUCUUCUCAGAGUUCUUAUAUAUGCUUCAGCUAUUUUUACUUCUCCUGUAACUUUUAUAAAUGUUGACACAUAUUAAAGGUUCAGAACCAUGUACAAUUACCAGGACACUUAACUGUAGUUCCUUAAAUUCAAGAGGUGUUUGUGUAACCAUACACAUUGCAGAAAGUAGGAAUCCAAGUUUCAGAAGAGUAAGUAAAUAAUAAAAAGCUAAUAUCACUCUUAAAAAUAGUCACUACCUAUCUCUUUCUGUCAGUAUUGACAAGUAAAUGGGUUGGUGUAUAAUGUCAGUAGUUAAGAGAAGUUGUUCUCAACCUGGGGGUCACAUAUCAGAUAUCCUACAUAUCAGAUAUUUAUAGUACAAUUCAUAACAGUAGCAGAACUACAGUUAUGAAAUAGCAAUGAAAUAAUCUUAUGGCAGGAGACACCAUAACAUGAGAAACUAUAUUAAAGGGUUGCAGCAUUAGGAAGGUUGAGAACCACUGAGUCAGCAUACACAAAACUGGAACUUGGUGGCAUUUGUUAUAUAGGAGUGACAAUUUUUAUUUAUAUAGGUUCCUCAAAGUUGGUUUUAAAAAAUGGAUCAUUUGAGAUGCACUGAAAACUCUUGAGUUAAUUAAGGCAAGCAUCAUUUUUAUCCUGCCAAAUAUUGAAGCUCAAAUAAACUUGGUAAUUUGUCUAAAUCACAAACUACAAAUGUUAGCUAGAGUUGGUUUUUGAACCCUGGGUCAUCUGAUCUCAAAGUCUAUUCCCUUCCCAAUAAUGUAAGUAUCUUCCUUCCGAUGGCUAAUUUUGGUUGUCAGUUAGACCACAUCUUGUAUCAACUAAAACUCAAGCAUUGGCGCAUGACUAUGAGGAUUUUUCUUGACUGGAUAAUUUGAGGUGAGAAGACCCAUCCUAAAUCAGGGCUACAAUUUCUUGUGGCAGCCCCACAUUAAAGGACAUAGAAGAAGGAAGCUUUUGAUUUUUGCCUUCUUGCUCUCACUCUCAGUGGCAAAUUCAUCUAUCCUGUUGCGAAGGUAUUCCUUUUCUGGUAUUAGAACUUUCUUCUUCAGGAUUCGAGUGUAGACUGAAGACGAGCUGGGAGACCCAGUCUGGUAGACUGAACAAUUGCUGGAUUACUAGUCUUUCCUCUGAGAGACAGACAUUGUUAGACUGGCUAGACCACAGCCUGUAAGGCACUCUAAAAAUGCCCUUUUAAUAUGUCUUCCACCAGUUCUGUUCCUUUAUAGAACCCCGACUGUCUCUCUUAGGGUCCUCCUUGUUUCCUAGCUUCUCUGGCAGUGUGGAUUGUAGGCUGCUACUCCUUUGCUCUAUGUCUAAAAUCCAUAUACGAGUGAGUACAUACCAUGUUUGCCUUUUUGUGACUGGGUUAUCUCACUCAGGAUGGUUUCAUCUAGUUCCAUCCAUUUUACUGCAAAUUUAAAGAUUACUUUUUUUUUUGCUCUGUUGAGUAGUAUUCCCUUGUAUAAAUGUACCACAUUUUCUCCAUUCAUUCUUCAGUUGAGGGGCAUCUAGGUUGCUUUCAGAUUCUGGCUAUUACAAAUAAUGCUAUGAACAUGGUUGAACAGAUGUCCUUGUUGUAUGAAUGUGCAUCUUUUGGGUAUAUGCCCAAGAGUGGAAAUUGCUGGAUCUUGUGGUAGACUAAUUCCCAUUUUCCUGAGGAACUGACAUACUGAUUUCCAAAAUGGCUGUAUGAGUUGGCACUCCCACCAGAAGUGGAGGAAUGAUCUGCUUUCUCCACAUCCUCUCCAGCAUAAACUGUCAUUGGUGUUUUUUAUUUUGGCCAUUCUGACAGGAGUAAGAUGGUAUCUCAGAGUUGUUUUGAUUUGCAUUUCCCUGAUGGCUAAGGAUGUUGAGCACUUUCUUAAGUGUCUUUGAGCCAUUUUAGAUUCCUCUAUUGAGAAUUUUCUAUUUAGUUUUGUACCCCACUUUUUAAUUGGGUUAUUUGGUGUUUUGGAGAUUAGCCUCUUGAGUUCUUUGUAUAUUUUGGAGAUCAGCCUUUUGUCAGAUGUGGGGCUGGUGAAUAUUUUUUCCCAUUCUGUGGGCUGCCAUUUUCUCUUGUUAACUGUACCCUUUGCCUUACAGAAGCUUCUCAGUUUCAGAAGGUCCCAGUCCCCUGGAGAAGGGGAAAGGGACAAGAUCUCCUGAGCCAACUGGGAGCAUGGGGGAGGAGAGAGGGAAUUAGGAGAAAAAGAAGGGGUGAAGAAGAGGGGAGAGGAGGACAUGAGAGAGCAGGAAGAUCGAGUGAGAGGAAUAAUAGAGGAGAGCAAGAAAAGAGAUACCAUAAUAGAGGGAGUCAUUAUAGGUUUAAAGAGAAAUCUGGUACUAGGGAAAUGUCCAGAAAUCUACAAGGUUGACCCCAACUAACAAUCUAAGCAAUAGUCGAGAGGCUACCUUAAAUGACCUUCUCUGACAAUGAGAUUGAUGACUACCUUAUAUGCCAUCCGGGAGCCUUCAUUCAGUAGCUGAUGGAAACAGAAGCAUAUACCCACAGCUAACCACUGAGCUGUGGAAUCCAGUUGCAGAGAGGGAGGAGUGAUGAGCAAAGGGGCCAAGACCAGCCUGGAGAGACCCACAGAAACAGCUGACCUGAAUAAGGGGGAGCUCAUGGAUCCCAGACUGAUACCUGGGAAUCCAGCAUAGGACUGUUCCAGACCCCCUGAAUGAGGCUGUCAGUUUGGAGGUCAGGUUAAUGGACUUGGGAGCCCACUCCACAUAGAGGGAUACACUCAUCUUCAGAGUCAGGUCCAUGGUGUUUUUCAGAUAAAACAUAUAGCAAAGUCAGAAGAAGAAAGGCCAGUUCUUGUACUUCUAAUUAUCAAUGACUGUCCAUUCAUUGAGAAAAUUACAGCAUGCUUGUGACCUUUCCCAGAAUAAGAAACCUUCAUUAGAGACCCCAUCAUGUUGGUGUUUCUUACUUCAAAAUAUCCUUAAUUAUCUAAAAGAUGAAAAAAUAUAUAUGGGACACAGAAAGAAGCAAACAGCAUUAAUUUUCAAAUCAACAUUCCAAAGGAAAAAGAACGAUUUCUCCACACCUCUGGGCUUAUACUCUGUGAUAUGCAGCGGACCAGUGCUCAGACUCAUGCUGUUUUUCUGAAGCCCCUUUAUUUAUUUUUCAUUAAUCUGUUUCCCUUGUGUGCCUGGAACUCAGUAAUCUGCUCAUCUCUAGCAUGAUCUAUACUAUAAUCCAUCGUUUCUCUCUUCAUGCAUUUUAAUGAAGCAAUUUUUGCCUCCUUUACAUAACGGCUGUCCUGAUUUCAAACUACAACAUAACCAUUUAUUGUCACAUCACUGAAAGCAAAUCUUUAAAAGGAAUACGUCACAACAGGAUAGAUAAGGAUUUUUCACUCUUUUAAUUUUUCUUUUUUGGAAGAGGCCUUUGUGAACUCAGUAGCAUUUUUAUCAUUUAAUUUUCAGUAGCUGCUCAGGCUUGGAAAUAGAUAUCCCUGUGAGACACCAACCCAAGUGGGACAAAUGCUGGUGGCAGUCAGAGUCCUUUGUCCCCUCCAGGUCUCAUCUGUUGACAGGAUGCUUUGAAUUGUUGUACUCCCCGAACUGCUCUUGCAGGUUGGUUAUGUCCUCAAAGAGCGAUAGAACAGCUGUGCAGGAAGUGGCUGCUCAGUGUUGCCAUUUUGUGUCUGGCAUUGUCUUCCCCCUGUGUUUAUUUGGUCAUUGUCCCGGACUUGGGCUGUUUGUACCAUUCUGCUUACCAGUUGUUGCACAUUCAGGUCUGUGUUUAUCUGACUGCUUUCUGACCUUUGGUAUCUGUGUGAUAUCUGACCCACCAUGGUGCUCUUUUUCCAGGAAUACUAGAUAAUGUCCUCCUGGCUAUUCUUGGGAACCAGGUUACCUUGGUGUGUCCCCGAUUUCACAGCUUGCUGUGCCCUGCACCACUGUUGGACUUUUCAAUUCUUGCACACCUUGUGGUAGAUUUAUCUUUCAUUCAUUAUUUCAUUCUUUCAAUAAUCAGCUAUUAAACACCUAUGUAUAUAGUUGUCAGAAAGAAAAAUAAGAUAAAUAUUCUUCCCAGUCACAAAAUCAUUGAUUAGAAGAUGAAAAGAUCUAAAAGGGAGACAGAGAGGAGUUUUGAAAGGCUCUUCCACACAUUUGGGGUCCCCCACUAAGAAAAAAUUUGCAGUAGUAUGGAGAGACAUUUAGGCAAGGAUUUUGGAAGGGGUUGCUGUAGAGGUGGUCCUAAGCUUCAUUAGCUUCUCUUGUGAGGCUAUGUAGUUUUCAAGAAGUGCCAAGUCAUGGAGUGAAAAUAUGAAGAGAAUAUUAUGAAGGCAUGCAGGAAAGGCAAGUAAAUACUCUUGGUGUCAAGGAUGGCUUUUUGGAAGAAGUUGGCCCUGAUCUGCUUCAAAACCUAACUUCUAUUUAAGUAGAUGAUGGAGAUAGGAAAGAGGGUGGCAGUAGGCAAAGUGUUUUGAACAUAGAGUUUUACAUAUGGGCAUCAGCCACAAUAGGAAGGCUUGAGUGCUGCCAGCAGCUGUAUUUAUUUGGAAUAGAGGAGCCAUAAGUGAUAUUGGAGAAAGAAAUGGAGAUCAAACCACUGGGAAGUUUGGUGCCACAAUAUAGAGCUUAGAUUUCAUCUUGGAUAAACCACCUUGGUGGAAAAUGUGUGUGUGUGUGUGUGUGUGUGUGUGUGUGUGUGUGUGUGUGUGUGUGUGUGUAUUUCAGUUAGGAGCUGCAGCAGUCAGAGAAGCAGGAGAUGGACAAGUUGUGAACUAAAGACAUUACAGCAGGAAGGAGUGAAGAUUAAAUGUAGGGUUGAGGAAGACUAGAGAAUAAACUCCUGGAUUUCUACCUUGGGUGUCAAAGAAAUAUCACAUGUAGAAGAGCAGGUAGGGGAGGGGGCUGAUCUGGGGGGAGAUUGUGUAUUUAGUUGUAAGAAAACUUGGCUUCCAGAAAAAAUGGCAUCCAAGUCUGAAGUUAGGGAAGAGUCUAACAGGAAGUAAACACUGGGAAAACAUGGGCACCUAGGGAACAGGUAGAAGCAAGGGGAAGAACCAGAUAACGGGGGAGGUGUGGAGAAAAGUACAGAAAGCCAGAGAGGGAGCUCUGGAAGAUGUCAGAACAAAUCACAAGAGGGACUGAGGAAGCUGCAGAGUCCGGUACCAACACAGAGGAAACUGUUUUAACAUGGUGAAGGCUGAGUCCUGCAAUAAAAAGAAUGAAACAUGUUCUUUGGGGUUUUCAGCAGGAUGCAAGUGGAGACCAGGAUGAGAAUAUGUGGACAGCUGUGAUGAGAGCAAGCCUGUUCCCAAAGGUUGAGCAAGCAGGUGUAUGGCACGGGAGGAAUGGUUGUAUGGAGACUUUUAAAUGAUGGAGAUCUGAAAGUAGUGAGCAUUAGCUAUGGUGAUUAGGGUUCUCAACCUUCCUAAUUCUGUGAUCCUUCAGUACAAUUCCUCAUGUUGUGCUGACCCUCAACAGUAAUUCUAUUGCUGCUUCCUAACUGUAAUUUUGCUACUGUUUGAGUCAUAUUGUAAAUAUCUGUUUUCCAUUGGUUGACCCCUGUGAAAGGGUUGUUUGACUCCCAAAGGGGUCAAGACCCAGGUAGACAACUACUGAUCUAAAUGAUAUUACUUUAAAGAUAGGACAUAAUUAAGCAUUUUUAUAGUCUAAGAGGUUAAAUGUUCAGAAGAUGGGAUGGGGAAAAUGGGUUGGGAAAAUGUCCCAACCAUGUGAUGUGGUUUGGGUCUUAAAUGUGCCCCAAGGCUCAUAUAGUAAAGAUGACUAGCUUGUAGUGCUUUUGGUGAUGGUGAAGGAAGCUUCAGGAGAUGAAGCCUAGAACUCUCUACCCAAGUGAGAUGAGUGCCAGGUGACAUUGAACUGGAACAUCUGAAACCAUGAGCCUUUAAAAAAUUUAAAUGACAUUGUAUUUAUUUAUUUUGUCUGUCUAUCUGUGCAGGUGUUUGCCUGCACGAUGGCAGAUGUGCAUACCUGUUAGGGGACAAUUUGUGGGAGUUGGUUCUCUCCUUCUAUCCUGUGGAUUCCAAGGAUCAGACUCACGUCACCAGGCUUGGAGGCAAGCACUCUUACCCAAUGAAGGGUUUUGCCGUCUCACAUUUCUCCUUUUGGAUCGAUGUCACAGCUAUGAGGAAGCUGUCCCAUACAUGUGGGCUCCCAUCAUUUCCUAAACUCCAGGUUCUUCUGUUCCUUUUCGGGUAUUACAUCUGUCUUUCUAGAAGUUAGCUAGUGCAAACCUGACUGUGUACAAUUUUGAUCUUGAUGUUUUCUGUCAUCUCGGAAGUUCAGUGAUUCAUAUAUUGAUGGCCCAAAUGAAACAUAAACAUCUUGUUCACCAACAAAAAAAUGGAGUGGUGUGUUGAUUUGGGCUUCAUGGAAGGAAGAUGGGGAAAGGACCAAAGGUGGCAGCAGAACGGAUUUACCCUUUCAUCUCAGUUCCUAGCCCUCUCCUAUGAUUCUCAUCCUCUUCUUGACUUGCCCUGGCAGGGAGCUAUUAGCUUCAAAGGGAAUAGAAUUAUUUGUGAGUAGAAAGAAAUCAGGAAGUGUCAGCUUCAUAUCCAUUCUAGAGGCAAGAAGAUCAAGAUCUAUGUCCACGGCCUGCCUCAAAGCAAUACAACCAGGAUUCCUGUUUGUUAGCAGUUGAGGGCAGAGGAGGUGGGCCCUGACAGUAAAUGUGAUGAUGCUUUUUAGUCCAGAAAAUGCUCUGUGGAUGCCAGCUAUUACCAUUCUUUCUGAAAAGCCGUUUGCAGGAGUGUUUGCCUGAAGCCCUCAUGGUGCACAAAUGAGGCAGCAGCAGCUCAGAGGUGAUUCAUUUUAGAGCAUAUGCCUUAUUACAGCAGGGAAAAGUGACCCACAUUAUCUGCUCAGUGCCCACUUGACAGUCUUGGUGGAAUAAAAAAGUCACCCACCAUCUCUCCUGCACUGAAUCGGUAUGUGCUGAAGUGGCCUGUCCCUGAGCUGCCACAAAACAAAAUGUAAAGUGGUUUGCCACUGAGCCUUCCUGACUGCUUCAUAUGUGACAGACAUCCUUUGGCAGCCCUGGGCACCAAAUUAGUAUUAGUGUUAAAAAGACUAUCACCUAUUUCAAAGAGAAAGGGAAAAGUAUUGCACUGCAUAAUUGUAACCAGGGACCAGUGAAUUGUAUAAAAAAAAAAAGGAGGAAAAUUAGGAUCAUGAUGGGUAAUAUGUAUCAUUUGUGCUUAGAGACAUACCAAAAUUAAAUUAAAACACACACACAGACACACAGACACACAGACACACAGAUACACACACACACACACACACACACACACACACACACACACACACACACGAACGCACGCAUGCAUGAGCGCAUGCACGCGGUUAUAUUGUCCAAAUAUAUCUGUCAGGCAUGUGAUUGCCUGUAGUGUUCCAUGGCAGAAAUAUGUCUUGUUUGCAGGUAGUCCGUAAUCUGUGAUAGAUCAUGCAGAUAAAGGCACAAUAAAUAUUUGAAAAAUAAUAGCUACAAAAGACAAGAAUACUAGGAAAUUUUGGAAAGAAUAUAAACAGUGAUAGAAUAUCUAUCCGGAAGGAUUAUUGCACAAGGAAUUUUGGCAGCUCACAUAUCAUGUGAGAACAGAAUAAAUAGGGACAGUCCUGAAGCAGCAAAGAGUUUGCAGUGGAUGUUGGGCAUGCAGAGGUGGAGGUGGAUGCAACCGUCCCUCGGUGCCCCUCAUUUGCACACACCCCUUCCCGUAACUGCAAGGGUGUGUUAGGCAUAUACUUACCAUUCUAUGGUAGUCUAUACAUUUUAACAUGGUCAAGCAUGUUAAAAUGUAUAAGCAUGGUUUGCACCACUGCUUCUUUCCAGACCAACUUCCUGGGCCACACUUCUUCAUGUAACAGCUGGAGAUGCCCCUGGGAUUUAAGUAAGGUGACUUUAGGAUGCCUUUCAAUUACAUUUAGUGGGAUAUAGCUGUGAGGGUCACAGUCACCUCCAUAUGUAGUUGAGUUGUUCCCAAUCUUUUAGUGUAGGAAUGACUUGCACUCAUAUUCCUGCUGUCCGCCUUUGCAGGAUGGUGUGGUUCUAGUGGUCGCAUAGUGAAAUGAACACUGUCCCAAUAAUACCUGAAACUGGAAGACUGUGUGUGGUGUAAGAAAAGCAGGUUUGAAAUGCACAAGAGUAGAAGUUACUCUGGAACAUUCUUUUGGUUAUCUGGCAUGUAAUACUUUUUUUUUUAAUUUGUGAUAAAAUAGACACAACAUAAAGCUACCAUUGUUAUUAGCUGUUUUUUUAACAUAAUGCUCAGUAAUAUUAAACACACGUAUGUUGUUGUAUCACCAUUACCAGCAUCCACACACAGAUUCAGAAAUCUUUCGCAGCUGAAACUCUGUACUCACUGAACAAUAAUUCCCAUUUUUUCUUUUUUUUCCAGGUUUUAGUUACCAAUAUUCCACUUUCUGAUUCUACAAAUUUGACUAUUCAAAAUGUAAAAUAUAAAAAUUGACUAUUCCAGGAACUUUAUUGUAUAAAUAGAAUCAUGCCAUAUUUGUCUUUUGUGACUGGCAUAUUUCAUUUGGCAUGAUGUCCUCAGGGCUCAUCCAUGUUGCCACCUGUCAGAUCGGCCUUCUCCCUUAAAGUUUGAAUUUCUUCCAUUGUCUACAUGAAUUGCAUUUUGUUUCAGUGAUAAUCUAUUUACCAACAUUUGGUUUGCUUCUACCUUUCAGAUGUUGAAAAGAAAAUGCUAAAAUGAACAUGAGUAUACUGUAUUUCUUAGAGUCUCUCCUGCUUUCAAAUUUUCAAGUACACCUGAUGUGUAAAAUUUUAAGAGGACAAUUAGAUUGUCAUUGAUGCCUAGUUAAAGUGGAAAUUCUCAUUUAUUAUGAAUACUUUUUUAUGAGAUGAGUAUUGACGGUGCUUGCCUUUAGUUGCAGCACCCUGGAGGCAGAGGCAGGUGGAUCUUCGAGUUUGAAAUCAGCUUGGUCUACCCUGUCUCAAGAAGAUAUUCUUUAUGAUGUAGCAAUGCAGUCAGAAACAUAACACAUAUAUAGCAUUUUAAUUUGUAUGUUGGUUAGGUUUUAUCAACUUGACAUAAGCUAUAGGUAGCUGGGAUAAGGAGUCUCAUUGAGAACAUGACUCAAUCAGAUUGCCUGCAGGAAGCUCUGUAGGGCAUUUUCUUGAUUAAUGAUUUAUGCAGGAGAGAAAGCCCAGCUUAGUGGAGGCAAUGCAACUACUGGGUGUUUCUGGAUGGUAUAAGGAGGCAGGCGACCAAACCAUUGAGAGAAAGCUAGCUAGCAUGUAUCAUUUUUCCAUAGCCUCUGCUUCAGUUCCUCUUGCUUCUAGGUUCCUGCCUUGAGUUCCUGCCCUGACUUCCCUUCAUGGUGGGCUAUAAGCUAUAAGAUGAAAUAAACCUUUCUUCCUCAAGUUGCUUGGCCAUGUGUUCACCAUAGCAAUAGAAAGCAAACUAAGACAACAUAUUUAAUGCAAAAUUGCACCAAGUACAAUUUGUCUGAAUAAGUAUACUUGCAGCACAAUUCUAUUCCAGCAUUACAAAAAGUGAUGAUUUGUGAGGUAACGCUUUAUAUAUUACAGCGAUUCAAAAUGUUUUGAUUAAUCAUCAUUGAAGAAAGAUUACUUAUGUUUCUGUUUUUCCUAGAAAUAUACGAAAUCAUUCAUAUGGAGAGGCCAUCAGACAAUCUGACACAAGUCUGGGAAAUGGAAUGACAGAGACAUCAGGGCAGGCAAGUUGAUUUAGCUUGCUGUCAGGCCUCAUGACCUGAAUUAGAUCACUAGACACGCAUCAUGGAAGAAGAAAACUGAUUCCCACAAGUUACUCUCUGACCUCUACACUGGUGCAAUGACAGGCGUGUACAUGCACAGGUACUCAGUAAGCAAAUACAUGUCAUUUAAAAAUCUUUAUUAUUAUUAUUAACCCCUGUCUAAUAUUCAGUCAGAAAAGAUUUUUUUUUAUUUUUCUAGGCCGCCUGUUUGCUCUGGUGGUUGUUUCUUUUGUUGUGCAGAAGCUUCUUAAUUUUAUGUGAUCCUAUUUUCUAGUUCUUUGAAUUAUUUUCUGUCCUAUCGGAGGUUUUUGUUUUGUUUUGUUUUGUUUUGUUUUGUUUUGUUUUGUUUUGUUUAGAAAGUCCCUGCUUGUGCCCAUAAUCUUGAAGUGUUUUCCCUUAGCAGCUUCACAGUUUCAGGUUUUAUAUUAAGGUCUUUGAUCCAUUUUGAAUUGAUUUUUUUGUGUGUGUGUGCUACGUGAGAGAUACAGAUCUAGUUUCAUUCUUCUACAUGUACAUACCCAAUUUCCCCAGAAUCAUUUGUUGAAGAGUCUGUCUCUCAUUGAAUGUGUGAUUUUGACACUUUUGGAAAAAGGGCAGCUUUAGCUGUAUGGAUUUAUUUCUGAGUUACUUAGUCUAUUCAUUUAUCUGUCUGCUUUUGCACCGGUGCCAUACAGUUGUUUCUGAACAUUUUUGUUACUUUUAUUUACUCAUGUGCAUGUCAUGUAGGCCUUUGGAAAUUAGGGCACAACUUUGAGGAGUGGGUUCUCUUCUCCACCAUAUGUGACAUAUGUGGGUAGAAAUGUAUCCAUUUCUUACAGAGUUUCCAUUUUGAAAUACAAGUUUCAAAACAUUCUGUGAUGCUCCUCUGGGUAUCACUGGAUCUGCUGUAAUAUCCUCUUCUCAUCUUGAAUUGUAUGAGGUUGGGUCCCUCUCUCUGUUGGCUAAUUUUGCUAGAGGUUUUGCUCAUCUUUAAAAAAUGUUUUUUUAUUUAUCUUAAAAAAACUUUUUGAUGAUUUUAUAUAGUAUCUUAGUCUCUAUGUCAUUAAUUUCUUCCAUGAUCUUCACUUCUUGCUGCCUAUUGCUGUUGGGUUUGGCUUGCUUGGGUCUUCUUAAGACCUUGGGUUUCAUAUUUGUAGGUUCUCUGAUUUUUUUGUUUUAAUUUAGGCAUUCAUAACAAUAAGUUUCUUCUUAUAACUGCCUUAAAUCUUCAACCAAGGUUCUGGUAAGUUCUAUUUUCAUUUUCAUUUGAUUCUAGUUCUAAGUUUCCUCAUGAUUUCAAUGACCAAUGGUCAUUCAAGAGGUAUAUAGUUUAGUCUCCAGAUAUUUGUAUAGUUUCUCUUGCUGUUAAUUUCUAGUUUUAUUGUACUAUGAAUUGAUAAGAGAGAUUACUUCAUUUCUUUUGUAUUUGGUAAGCUUUGAUUUGUGGCCUAAGAUGUGGUCUAUUUAGAGGAAGUUCUACAGCUGAUAUAUAUAUAUAUAUAUAUAUAUAUAUAUAUAUAUAUUCUGUUUCUGUUGCAUGGAAUUUCCCUUAGAUAAUCUGUUAAAUCAUUUGAUCUGACACAGUUUAACUCUGAGGGUUUUUGUUGGUUUUUAGUUUGGAUGAUUUAUCUAAAGAUAACAGUGGGGCACUGUAGUUACUUGAUUAACAUGUUAGGAUUCAUAUGAAUUUUUAUGCCCAUUAGUGUUUGUCUUAUGAAAUUAGGACCUCUAAUUCUUGGUGUAUAAUUUAUAAUUAUUGUAUUUUCUUGAUAAAUUGCUUCUUUUAGUCAUAUGUGGCAGCAGACUUCUUUAUUCUAGCUUUGAUUUUUUUUUAUCAUCAGUACGUUGGUUGUGGGGGAAGCAAUCACAGGUAUGAGAUCUGUAUAGGGAGAUGAUCUGUCUACUUUCAAGACUGCCUAAGUGUUAGGUAGUGACUGUCUGUCACCAUGCUGGAAUGACACAUCUGUGAAUGUCAAGUAAACCACUGGAGUUAACAGAGUUCAAGGCUCUGCUGCAGUGAAUGGCAGACACCAUGGUUCCAAAGGUCGAUCCAGUCUAUGAGCUCAGGUUCAAGGCUAUCAAACUUUAGGGUUGUUUACAGUUGUUGAUAUUCACCCAGGCUACUUGGGCAGGACUACCUUUCCCUAACCACUGUAUUACCUGAGCCAAAGCCCUGUUAACUGCAGUUUUUGGCUUGUCAGUGUCUAGCUUUCCUGCUCCUACAGUUGCCCUAUAGGGGCUGUCUCUUAUGGGGCCAUGGACAAUUGAGGUCAGGCUCCCUGAUUCCUGGAUGUUUCCUGUUUCCAGGCUCUCAGAGCACCUCAGUUUGAAACAAUAAGUCCCCUUUGAAGAGGGUGCCCAUCCAUCCGUUGCUGCCCUCCGAAUCUUACAUUUUCAAAAUGAGAUUCUUUUCCACUGCUGUCCCAUCUGCCAGAGGAAUCAGUUUCUCACGAAAACGUGCAACUAGAUUUGAAGCUUCUGAGGACUGGGGGCUUGUCCUCAAGACAGCUUGCCGGUCUCACUGGAGUCACCUGGGUUACCUGCUUCUGCUUCCCCUCUCUUUCUAGGGGGUCGCAAAAAUUUAGCUGGAAUGGGAGUGGCUCACUUCCUUCUAGAGCACCACCAGUGUUUUCCUCUGUACAUUUCCUGUAUCCACCAUUGUGAAUUUCCAAAGCUCUCCUUAUCUAUGUUUUCUUAUCCUGACUCUUCUCCUUCACCAGGUCACAUCUUUUUUGGAAACACCUGUGAUCACUUCAUUAUUAUAAUUAUUAUUAAGACAAGGCCUCAGAUACGUAGGCUUAGAUCUCACUGUGUGUAUCAGGAUGGUCCUAAACUCACAGAGAUCCACCUGCCUCUGUCUCCUGAACACUGGCAAUAAAGUCUUGCACCACCACACCCACCGCCUGUGGUCACUUCUUAAAGAGAACUUCCAACCACUCAUGUUUUGGAUCUCAAAGCUUCUAUCAUCCUCUUUGAAGUUUCACUGCCAGCCUCAGAGUCCCAGCUAGAGCUUUCAGUUUCUAUUCCUCCUCCUUUUGUUAGUCCACCCUCUUCUUGUGUUUGUGGGUUUCCUAGUGCACAGUGUGGGAGCUUUCCCCAGAGGGCAAACCAUUAGUUAUAAGAUGCUGGCAGCCAUAUGGAAUGCUCUUCCAGUAACAGACAAUCAGUGGGGAGGGCUUUGCUGCAGUAUGGGGAGGUUCGUGCCUAACAGAACAUUGAUUGGUAGAUGACUAACAAUUUAGCUCUCCUACACUUUGAUGAACUUAGUUAUCUUUGGUUUGUGGGCAGCUUCCUCACACUAAAUUCAGUUUUCUUUAUGCCACUCCUUCUACCCCGCCUCAAUCAUACCAUCUUGAGUUCUUUUUGUUGGGAGGAAAUCUGCUUUUUUGUACAACUGAACGUCUUUUCUUUUGUUCCUUAAAAAUAGAUUUUAAUGACCCCUCAGAAUUAAGCACUGGAUUCAUUAACAGCCAAGAAUCUGAUUCCUGCUCCCUAGGGUGGCAAGAGGUGCUGAUAGUCUUUAAUUAUUCCCGGCAAAAUAAGAGGAUGCUUUCUGUUAUAUACUUUCAGAACAGGAGACCAAAAGAGCACCGCAGAGUUAACGUGCUUAAUGAUAGACAGUCUCAUCCAUUAUGUCUCAACAUAAAUGAUGAGAAUUAAGAGGAUUUUAGAGGUGGAAGCCAAUUUAAAGGUGCUUUGGUCAACUCUAGAGAGGUUAUAGAGGAAUAAGGAAAAUCACAGGGUGAAUGGUGCUGCUAAUGUCAAUCCUGUGGGCUCAGGACCAGGGCCAUCUGGAACCUGGCUCAGGGUUAUUUUGCUCUAUUAUAUGCAGGUUUCAUGUUUUGUAGUAAUUUUACAAGGAGCUCCUGAAUAUUGCAUUAAUAUUACUUUUAUAUAUUGAGAUCAGACAUAUUUAACAGUCUCUCCCUUCCCUCUGCUUUUGUGCUGAUAUUAUUAUGGCCCACUUAAAAAGGUUGGAUGAGCUAGAUAAGUUUUGAAGGUUUUUUUAGCCUUAAGAGUGUAUGGGUAGGAGUGUACCAUGUUAAUAAAGAUACCACCACAUGGCAGAGUAUAAAUAAGGAAUAGUGGUUAACUUAAAAUGUAAAGUCUAAGAGUAGUUAGAAAUAAGCCUGAGCAACUGACCACACAUUUAAAAGUAAUAUUAAGUCUCAGUGUGUUUAUUUGGGUGUUGCUGGUGGGACAGAAACUUCUGUUUACAGCCAGUCAAUUGCCUUUGUUAACAAAUUUAGGGGAUUGGUACCCAAGCAGCUUUUUGGUCCUUGUUGUGUAAGUUUCCUUGGAGAUUAAACCAUUCCAUCUUUCAGGAAACUCCUUAAGCAGAAGACAAACAAUUCAGAAUAACUUCAGGAAGUCCUUGAAACUGACCAGAUUUACUAGGCCCCUCCCUGCCAUUAAAGCUGAGAGUCCCUUUCAGAAGAUCUGAGUCAUGCAGCAAAGAAGACUGGCACCACCCAAGCCCCAUAGCUGAGCUGCAAAGACUCUGAGACCAGACCGGCUGUCUGCAAGAAACAGAAACCAGUGGAGCUGCAUGGAAGAGGUUGAGACUGAAGCACCUGGAAAGGACACUCUCCGACCCGUUGAACUACCUGAAGGCUGUGCAAUGUGCUCUAGGUUCCCAACUUUGUGAGUUGUCACUUGUGCUAGAGUGAGCUUCAGUGAUGCAGCUGUCUUUGGGUCAUUACUGUUCCUUUAAAUAACCCUUCACCCAUAUUCCUGUAAGUAACCUCAAUAAAACACAUUAAUUUGCC
ensembl:lncRNA